AUUGAACGCUGGCGGCAGGCCUAACACAUGCAAGUCGAGCGAGCGGCGGACGGGUGAGUAAUGUCUGGGGAUCUGCCUGAUGGAGGGGGAUAACUACUGGAAACGGUAGCUAAUACCGCAUACUAUCGGAUGUACCCAGAUGGGAUUAGCUAGUGGGUGGGGUAAAGGCUCACCAAGGCGACGAUCCCUAGCUGGUCUGAGAGGAUGACCAGCCACACUGGGACUGAGACACGGCCCAGACUCCUACGGGAGGCAGCAGUGGGGAAUAUUGCACAAUGGGCGCAAGCCUGAUGCAGCCAUGCCGCGUGUAUGAAGAAGGCCUUAGGGUUGUAAAGUACUUUCAGCGGGGAGGCGUUACCCGCAGAAGAAGCACCGGCUAACUCCGUGCCAGCAGCCGCGGUAAUAC
rnacentral:rRNA from 1 species